GAUCCUGGCUCAGAAUCAACGCUGGCGGCGUGCCUAACACAUGCAAGUCGAACGCGAAAGGGGAGCAAUCCCUGAGUAGAGUGGCAAACGGGUGAGUAACACGUGGGUGACCUGCCUCAGAGUGGGGGAUAACGUCCCGAAAGGGACGCUAAUACCGCAUAACAUCCUGCCUUUGGAAAGGCGGAGAUCAAAGCCGGGGAUCGCAAGACCUGGCGCUUGGAGAGGGGCCCGCGUCUGAUUAGCUAGUUGGUAGGGUAAUGGCCUACCAAGGCAACGAUCAGUAUCCGGCCUGAGAGGGCGGACGGACACACUGGGACUGAGACACGGCCCAGACUCCUACGGGAGGCAGCAGUGGGGAAUUGUUCGCAAUGGGCGCAAGCCUGACGACGCAACGCCGCGUGGAGGAUGAAGAUCUUCGGGUCGUAAACUCCUGUCGAGCGGGACGAACACCUAUCCAGCUAACAUCUGGACUGGCUGACGGUACCGCUAAAGGAAGCCCCGGCUAACUCCGUGCCAGCAGCCGCGGUAAUACGGGGGGGGCAAGCGUUGUUCGGAAUUACUGGGCGUAAAGGGCUCGUAGGCGGCCAACUAAGUCAGACGUGAAAUCCCCAGGCUCAACCUGGGAACUGCGUCUGAUACUGGAUGGCUUGAAUCCGGGAGAGGGAUGCAGAAUUCCAGGUGUAGCGGUGA
rnacentral:rRNA from 1 species